AAACAUCCUUUUGUGUGUAAGUGUGCAUUAGUACAUGCUAACGAUAUUCAAAAAGUACAUACCUCAAAGAAAACGAUGACGCGAGUUAUCGUCUCUAACGUUCGAGGACUACAAAAAACACUCGGAUUGUAGGCAACAGUUUACUUCCUGGGAUUAGUGACGUAGAUAAGACCAACAUUAUCAUAGUUCAGCCCUCUCUGCUUUGCUUGGGUACGCCCUCAAAGACGAGGGUGGGGUGGGGAGCGCCGAGUCAGAAGAGAGCUAAAAUGGCGGAGGUUGGGAGUCCCUGCUUUGACUCUGUUUGCAAACUCUUGUUUCAUUGUUUAAGCGAUUAAAUCUCUCGAGUAGACGCUGUCUCUUUAGAUGCGAGGGCAAAAUAGCACUUUAUGGACUUCCACAGAGGACAUCAUGUUUAAUACGGUUCCGGAAAAAUCCAGUCAGAAGUUGUUCACGGAGUUUUCACAAUAACUGCUUCUCAUGAACCGAAGCUGGAUUUGCACGACGUCUCCUCUUGAAAGUUGGAUUAUACUGUGCACUUCUGGAUCACAGACUAUUCGCAGCUGGACACAUCCUUCUACACUGUAUGCAAACAUGCAACAUCAUUACACACAGUACAAGGAGUCAGACUGGCAUAUGAGGAGCAAAGGAACCCAGGCAGUAGCAUCGUUUCACAAUGUUUCCAUCAUCAUCAUCAGUGGAUGCCUUUGCCGUCCGUAGCCUGAGAUUUCAGAUUUGCAGCAAAAAAAAAAUUAUUUUCUCAUUUAUUGGAAUGCUGUGCAGGUAUUUGUACCUUGCAGCCAUCCAUUACAAUGUCACCAAGCCAUAACAAAAGCAGGAGAGGGAAAGUACAAGGCUAUGUUCCCAAAACACACAAGUGACAUACCUUAUGUGGAGGAUGUGAUCAGGCUUGUGUUUGAUGAGGUAUUUGAAGAUAAGCUGAAGGAAACCCCGAUUCCAAUGGACCUGGCAUCACAGUUUGAGAGACCUUCAAAGGAGGACGUGAUUGCAUGC